rnacentral:rRNA from 1 species
CCUACGGGGGGCAGCAGUGAGGAAUAUUGGUCAAUGGACGAGAGUCUGAACCAGCCAAGUAGCGUGAAGGAUGACUGCCCUAUGGGUUGUAAACUUCUUUUAUAUGGGAAUAAAACGUUCCACGUGUGGGAUUUUGUAUGUACCAUAUGAAUAAGGAUCGGCUAACUCCGUGCCAGCAGCCGCGGUAAUACGGAGGAUCCGAGCGUUAUCCGGAUUUAUUGGGUUUAAAGGGAGCGUAGGUGGAUUGUUAAGUCAGUUGUGAAAGUUUGCGGCUCAACCGUAAAAUUGCAGUUGAAACUGGCAGUCUUGAGUACAGUAGAGGUGGGCGGAAUGCGUGGUGUAGCGGUGAAAUGCUGAGAUAUCACGAAGAACUCCGAUUGCGAAGGCAGUUCACUGGACUGCAACUGACACUGAGGCUCGAAAGUGUGGGUAUCAAACAGGAUUAGAUACCCGUGUAGUC